rnacentral:tRNA from 3 species
GGGGUUAUAGUUUAAAGAAAAACGCUUGCUUGUCGAGUAAUUAAUCCGGGUUCGAGUCCCGGUAACCUCG